UACGUAGGUCCCGAGCGUUGUCCGGAUUUAUUGGGCGUAAAGCGAGCGCAGGUGGUUUAUUAAGUCUGGUGUAAAAGGCAGUGGCUCAACCAUUGUAUGCAUUGGAAACUGGUAGACUUGAGUGCAGGAGAGGAGAGUGGAAUUCCAUGUGUAGCGGUGAAAUGCGUAGAUAUAUGGAGGAACACUGGUGGCGAAAGCGGCUCUCUGGCCUGUAACUGACACUGAGGCUCGAAAGCGUGGGGAGCAAACGGG
rnacentral:rRNA from 1 species